rfam:Desulfomonile tiedjei DSM 6799, complete genome.
CCCGGUGGCUAUGGCGGAGGGGAAACACCUGUUCCCAUUCCGAACACAGCAGUUAAGCCCUCCAGCGCUGAUGGUACUGCGUGGGUGACCGCGUGGGAGAGUAGGUCGUCGCCGGGA